rnacentral:lncRNA from 1 species
AAAGAUUGAAUGUCCUUUGGAGUUCACAGAGGUUUGGCAGUGGGAGGAGAAAAACAAAACGAAGCAUAGUGAGAGUGUUGAACAGACUUUCCCAAGAUCCCCAGAAAAGCAAAGCUACUACAAGAACUCACUACAUCAAUGCGUGUUCGUUAUUGAGACCAUCCUAGGAGAGCAUGCAUCAUCACAGGCUGCUCUGAGGUCUGUGCCCAAUCAAGCAAAGAACAACGGGGAUAAUCACACUGUGCAGAGGGUGACCAAUUUAGAAAAAAAGGACCCUUAAGAAGAUCUUCCAACUUCCUUAAAUGACUUUCAUUAAUUUUACACCUUUUGCCAAUUAAUU